UGGUGUGUGCACAGACGUCAAGGCACUGCCGACCUGGUCGGGGGAUUGCCUUGCCUGGCUCCUUGGAUGAGGUAGGGGCAAUUUAAUUCGGCAGCUGAAUCUUGUUGUUGUUGCUUCGGUGCAUGCAACAAAAGCCGAAGGAUGUGUUGCUUCGGGCAACACAUGUUGGGGAUUCCGUUUCUGAGUGUGCUUGAUCUGGUGCAAGAUGAGGUUACCAAAAGCCGAAGGAUGCGCUAAGCCGUUGUUUCAGUUUUCAUCAAGCAUUGCAGAGAACUAUACAGUAUCGCUAUGCAACAUGGUUCAACAAAAGGCGAAACUGAGCCGAAGCCACAAGCUAUCACUUUGUUGAUUUGAGCUAGGAAUCACCUAGCUUGGAAUCAUGGCAGAGCUGCAAAUCUUACCGGCUUCACCAACACAAAAUCUGCCUGAUACACACACCGUACAGUUGUCUCCCCAAAGCGCAGCCUUGAUUUCACAGCUCCUCAUGGGCAGCUUGACUCUCACCUCAACUCAACUCCAUGGGGUUCUUUUCCAGGACGAACUUCUUUGGGCAUAAAGGUCCACACGGAUCACAGCCUCCUUUCUUCCAAGCAUUUCGUCAGAUCGAGAUGCAAAGGAUGCACAGAAUGCUUUCGGCAAGCAUAUGGGACAAAGCAAAGUGACCAACAAAGCAAAUGAAUCAUGGAGAUUUUGUAUUAAAGAGCACUUCAGAUCGAAUGAUGAACUGACAAGAAGAGUGCAUCUAAUGCCGUCCAUGUAUCCUAUGUGAAACUGUGAUGACGACGAUAAAGGGCUAAGCUUCCCCCCUCAUCAACAUCAAAUUUUCAAAAAGAACAAACACAUGCCAAAGAAUUGUUAGCUAACCCGUAGAUUUAAAGCUGUGUUAAGAUGUCAAAUAUCUGGUAUAGAUAAUAAUUCAACCCUCCAUUGCAGGUAAUCCAGAGUGUUAUCCGGCUAAUAAUCUGAUCAUCUCAAUACAUGGUAGAAACUGAUGAAAAAUAAGAAGUGCACUUCCUUUCAUCAAGUUCAUCAAUAUAUCAUACGAGACACA